AGGUCAUAGUGAUCCGGUGGUUCUGCAUGGAAGGGCCAUCGCUCAACGGAUAAAAGGUACUCCGGGGAUAACAGGCUGAUACCGGCCAAGAGUUCAUAUCGACGGCGGUGUUUGGCACCUCGAUGUCGGCUCAUCACAUCCUGGGGCUGAAGUAGGUCCCAAGGGUAUGGCUGUUCGCCAUUUAAAGUGGUACGCGAGCUGGGUUUAGAACGUCGUGAGACAGUUCGGUCCCUAUCUGCCGUGGGCGCUGGAGAAUUGAGGGGGGCUGCUCCUAGUACGAGAGGACCGGAGUGGACGCAUCACUGGUGUUCGGGUUGUCAUGCCAAUGGCACUGCCCGGUAGCUAAAUGCGGAAGAGAUAAGUGCUGAAAGCAUCUAAGCACGAAACUUGCCCCGAGAUGAGUUCUCCCUGAGACUUUAAGUCUCCUGAAGGAACGUUAAAGACGAUGACGUUGAUAGGUCGGGUGUGUAAGCGCAGCGAUGCGUUGAGCUAACCGAUACUAAUGAACCGUGAGGCUUAACCUUACAACGCCGAAG
rnacentral:rRNA from 1 species